GGUAUUGUGGCUCAGAGGCAGAGCGCACACCUAGCAUGUGUGAGGCUCUGGGUUCCAUCCUCAGUACCA
rnacentral:tRNA from 1 species